rnacentral:rRNA from 1 species
CCUACGGGGGGCUGCAGUCGAGGAUCUUCGGCAAUGGGCGAAAGCCUGACCGAGCGACGCCGCGUGUGCGAUGAAGGCCUUCGGGUUGUAAAGCACUGUCGAGGGGGAGAAAAGCCGCAAGGCUUGAUCGACCCCUGGAGGAAGCUCGGGCUAAGUUCGUGCCAGCAGCCGCGGUAAGACGAACCGAGCGAACGUUAUUCGGAAUCACUGGGCUUAAAGGGCGCGUAGGCGGGUCGGCAAGUCAGGGGUGAAAGCCCCCAGCUCAACUGGGGAAGUGCCUCUGAUACUGCCGGUCUCGAGGGAGGUAGGGGCGUGCGGAACUUCCGGUGGAGCGGUGAAAUGCGUAGAUAUCGGAAGGAACACCGGUGGCGAAAGCGGCGCGCUGGACCUCUUCUGACGCUGAGGCGCGAAAGCCAGGGGAGCAAACGGGAUUAGAUACCCCGGUAGUC